rnacentral:rRNA from 1 species
AGUGAACGCUGGCGGUAGGCCUAACACAUGCAAGUCGAACGGCAGCACAGUAAGAGCUUGCUCUUACGGGUGGCGAGUGGCGGACGGGUGAGGAAUACAUCGGAAUCUACUUUUUCGUGGGGGAUAACGUAGGGAAACUUACGCUAAUACCGCAUACGACCUACGGGUGAAAGCAGGGGAUCUUCGGACCUUGCGCGAUUGAAUGAGCCGAUGUCGGAUUAGCUAGUUGGCGGGGUAAAGGCCCACCAAGGCGACGAUCCGUAGCUGGUCUGAGAGGAUGAUCAGGCACACUGGAACUGAGACACGGGCCAAACUCCUAAGGGAGGGAGCAGUGGGGAAUAUUGGACAAUGGGCGCAAGCCUGAUCCAGCCAUACCGCGUGGGUGAAGAAGGCCUUCGGGUUGUAAAGCCCUUUUGUUGGGAAAGAAAAGCAGCAGGUUAAUACCCCGCUGUUCUGACGGUACCCAAAGAAUAAGCACCGGCUAACUUCGUG